rnacentral:rRNA from 1 species
UCUUCCGCAAUGGACGAAAGUCUGACGGAGCAACGCCGCGUGAGUGAUGAAGGCUUUCGGGUCGUAAAACUCUUUUGUUAGGGAAGAACAAGUCCUAGUUGAAAAAGCUGGCACCUUGACGGUACCUAACAAGAAAGCCACGGCUACCUACGUUCCACCAGCCGCGGUAAUACGUAGGUGGCAAGCGUUAUCCGGAAUUAUUGGGCGUAAAGCGCGCGCAGGUGGUUUCUUAAGUCUGAUGUGAAAGCACACGGCUCAACCGUGGAGGGUCAUUGGAAACUGGGAGACUUGAGUGCAGAAGAGGAAAGUGGAAUUCCAUGUGUAGCGGUGAAAUGCGUAGAGAUAUGGAGGAACACCAGUGGCGAAGGCGACUUUCUGGUCUGUAACUGACACUGAGGCGCGAAAGCGUGGGGAGCAAACAGG